AUAAUGACGGUACUUGAGGAGGAAGCCCCGGCUAACUACGUGCCAGCAGCCGCGGUAAUACGUAGGGGGCUAGCGUUAUCCGGAUUUACUGGGCGUAAAGGGUGCGUAGGCGGUCUUUCAAGUCAGGAGUGAAAGGCUACGGCUCAACCGUAGUAAGCUCUUGAAACUGGGAGACUUGAGUGCAGGAGAGGAGAGUGGAAUUCCUAGUGUAGCGGUGAAAUGCGUAGAUAUUAGGAGGAGCACCAGUUGCGAAGGCGGCUCUCUGGACUGUAACUGACGCUGAGGCACGAAAGCGUGGGGAGCAAACAGGAUUAGAUACCCUGGUAGUCCACGCUGUAAACGAUGAGUACAGGUGUCGGGGGUUAC
rnacentral:rRNA from 1 species